UUCCAAUUGCUCUCGGUCCUACCUCAGGUUUUGGAUCCCCUGCUGCCUUCGUUCCACCGUGUUAUGGAGCACAUCCCAGAGAUUCUGCAGCUGAACCGCUGAAGCUGCCAGCGAGGUCACAUCAGCUGGGGACUGGGAGGUUGUUUGUGUCUGGGAGGAUUUCUGAGCUCGCUAUCAAGUGAUCCUUGAGGCGCCACAGCCAUCAAGACAGAAAAUCAGGUAUUCCUGGAACAGUGCUGCUGCAGGUGGCCCUUCAUGCUCACCCUGCCUCUGCUGGAGUCUCUCUUCGAUUAAAUGGGAAUGGAUCGCAGUUGUCGCCACUUGAUGCUUGCUCAGGAGGAGAGCUCGCUUCAAAGUCAACCAAAGGCAGCAGCAGCAAAACGAUGGGCUUCCUAGAUGAAGAACUGUUUGCCAAUUAUCAUCUUUAAUGUAUUUGAAUGUAUUGCAAAAUAAUUUGGAAUAAACUGGACUGUAUUAAGACUGGACCAGAAUCUGAUUGUAUU